AAAAUAUAUAACAAUCAUAAGGAAAUAUUAUAACAUGCCUGCAGGUAGGACGGAUGACUGAGAACUUAUUUGGCCUGACUUACUGUAGUGAGACUUUUACCUUAUUUAGAAAAGUUUUAUAUACAAUUAUACUCUUUUCUGUGAUUAUAUAUUGUUAGAUGUGACUCGAAGUUGAUAAUCGACUCAUGUUCGGGUUUUCGACUCGCCGAUAGUUUCGCGGUGCUAUCAAAAUUGGAAAAAUAAAAUUGUCAAGGAAAAAUGAAUGUAUGUGGUGGGUAGCGGAGGGCUCGGGCGUUAUGAGUUUUCUUUUCGUUUUUGCCCUAGAGGCGUGAGAUCGUGGUUGGUUGUAAUCAUCUGAACAUUGUAUUCCUUUUUCGGUCGAUAGUGAAGUUUUUUCUUUCCUCGCCCGUGAUUUUUUUCUGCAAAAAAAUUUUCACGUAAAUCUGUAUGUUCUUUUUAUUUUUCGCUUGUAAUUUGAUUGUUUUAUAUUUGUCAUUUUAUUUCCGUUUAUGCGUUUGUCGUAAUAUAUAUCAUACUACAU
rnacentral:lncRNA from 1 species